rnacentral:misc_RNA from 1 species
GCCACACUGUACGUCCUACAUAUUCUUCUCAAUUAUGGAGCUGAGUUAAAGGAUUCUCUUGAACCUGCUCUAUCAACAGUCCCACUCUCUCCAUGGCAGGAAGUGACACCACAGUUAUUUGCACGCCUGAGUUCUCAUCCCGAGAAAAUUGUGAGGAAGCAGUUAGAGGGAUUGGUGAUGAUGCUGGCUAAGCAGUCUCCGUGGGCUGUAGUAU